CUACGGGCCGCUCCAGUGGGGAAUAUUGGGCAAUGGGCGAAAGCCUGACCCAGCAACGCCGCGUGAAGGAAGAAGGCUUUCGGGUCGUAAACUUCUAUCCCAGAUGAAGAUCAUGACGGUAAUCUGGAAGGAAGCCCCGGCUAACUACGUGCCAGCAGCCGCGGUAAUACGUAGGGGGCAAGCGUUGUCCGGAAUGAUUGGGCGUAAAGGGCGCGUAGGCGGCCUUUUAAGUCCGAUGUGAAAGUCCUGCUUUUAAGGUGGGAAUUGCAUUAGAAACUGGAAGGCUUGAGUGCAGGAGAGGUAAGUGGAAUUCCCGGUGUAGCGGUGAAAUGCGUAGAGAUCGGGAGGAACACCAGUGGCGAAGGCGACUUACUGGACUGUAACUGACGCUGAGGCGCGAAAGUGUGGGGAGCAAACAGGAUUAGAUACCCUCGUAGUC
rnacentral:rRNA from 1 species